GAGGGUCGCCCCGCCCUGCCAGCGCCCGCCUCAGUCCAUUGCCCAUUGCAGCGCCGUGCGUGUCGCGCAGAAGGGAUGCACCGCGCUGACCUGCCCCAAAGCACCUUGGCGUGUGUCGCGUGAGCGACAGUGCGAGCGAGAGAGAGAGGGGGAGUGAACAAGGAUACAGGUCGGCCACAUGCUCUGCUGGUGAGGAGGUGCAAAUCACUCAGGUCCCCUUUCACCGUAGGCAGCGACGAAGUUUAGUAGAGACUGCAGCAGCCCGGAGACAUGCCCGUUCCGCCAGCGACAAUGAAUCCAGCCGUGCGCCUGGUCCAGGGGCCCGGGAAGGUGCUUCACGAGGAGAACAGCCGGACGGCGCUCACCAUGACCACCAGUACCAAGGAGGCCAGGAAGGUGCCCCAGUUCCUGGCGGCAUUCGCAGGUGAGUCGCGGGGAACGGUCGGGACGAGAAACGGACACCCCCUGGGCGACUUGGCUGAUCUCUCCAAUAGUUGGCCCCGCUUCACCGCCGACCUUGCGCUCCGCGUGCCGCGCAAUGUAAUAUGUAAUCCCGCGUUAUGCGUUUUGCUGUCGUCGCCGCGAUAAUGGCGACAAAUUAAAGGUCGGAAGGUCGGCUCGGCUUGGCUGAUAUACAACAACUAUACGGCAAUCAUCAUCAGUCCUCUGGCGCCGCAAAGCCGAGACUCGCAGAGAGGGAGGCGGGGGAGGGGGUUGUUUCUCGCAGGGGAUAGAGAGGAAUGGACCAUCGAUAACAUUGUGUUCGGGGCAUUCAAUUGUAUUCCUUGAGCGAGCUGCCCCGGCUCCGGCCGACCCCCCACGGCAGGGACUCGCGCCCUCGUGACAAUCGUCAUCGUCAUGACCAUCGCCAUCCGGAGCAUAGCCGCGGGGGAGGCGCGGGCGCCCCCGCCCGCCAGGACCACUCAUGUAACCUGAGGGUUGCGGGGUCUCGGGCGAUAACCCCGACCUCGGCUAUGGCGUGCGCGAGGGACGACACUUCGCGGAAAAACGAUAAACCCGCGACCGGCUCGGCUCCGGCCCCGCGAGGGAGAGAGAGAGAGAGGGAGAGGGAGAAACUGUCUGUCCUCUGGCAAGCCCGAGCAGCGCGAGCCACGCCAGGCCGAUGGGCUGCCUAUCUGGCCGGCGGCGGCGCACGGCGUCCCUCGCGACUGGACCGGCGGCCCCGGUGCGUUUCUGCACGCCGCCGCCGUGUAACGUGUACAGUGCGCCCCGUUUCGACACAGCAGGGAUUUGAUGACGCAAACUGCUAUCGCGCUGGCCGCUCAAUGUCCCGCUCCAACGUCACAUAGAACGGGAGCAGAGAGCGCUUUUUUGAUCGUCCAAAUCGCGGACGCGCGCGCGGGAGGCGUUUGGAUAUUUCAGCCGAAUAAUAACAACAACCGGCAGUCAUAACGAUUGAUAGGGAGUGGAAGUUUUGUUAGCGCCAAUUAAAGCGCCAGACGCAAAUGUGAAAGUCAUGCACGUUGAGUCCCACAUGACCACAAGUAUGUCCAAAAUGGCAUGUAAAGGGGACCCUCCCCCCUC